AUGUCUAUCCGCCUCUUUCUCCUUUCCUUCCUUCCUUUAUUUUCCUCCAUCUUUUUUUCCUACCUCUUCUUUCAUUUUCAUACCUCUUUCUCCUUUUCUUCUCUUACCAUUUCCAAACCUUUCAUUCUCCCCUUCUUCUCUUUGUUCCGUUUCCUACCGUUUUCUUUCUCCCUUUCUUCUCCUUUCCUGUUUCCCAGCCUACUUGUCUUCCUUUUCUCCUUCCCUUUUUCUUACCAUUUCUCCUUUCCUCCAUGUCCUACCCUUCUUCCUUCUCUUCCUUUCCUAUUUCCUUUCUUCCGUUUCCUACCUACAUACUUCUUUCCCUUGUCUCCCUUCCGUUUCCUACCUUCCUUCCCUUUCUUCUACUUCCUACCUUUCUUCCUUUUCUCCUGCCCUUUUACCUACCACCCCAUCUUUUUCUUCCAUUUCUUACCUUUCUUUCUUCUCUUUCUUCAAUGUUUCCUUUCUUCCUUCAUUUUUCUUCCUUCUGUUUCCUAUCCAUCUUUCUUUCUCCCUUGUUUCCUUCCUUUCCUUUUUCUUACCUACUUUUCUUUUCCCUUUUCCUCUUCCAUUUCAUACCUCCCUUCUCUUCCGUCCAUUUCCUACCUUUUUCUUCUUUUCCUCCUUCUUUAUCUUUUUCCUACCUAUUUUUCUUUCUCCCUUUUUUGCCCUUCCUUUCAUUUCCUACCUUUCUUUCUUUUGUUGCUCUUCCUUCCAUUUCCUACCCAACCUUCCUUCUCUUCCAUCCGUUUCUUACCUUUCUCUCUUCUUUUCUCUCUUCCUUAUCUUUUUCCUACCUUUCUUCCUCCCUUUUUCUCUCUUCCUUCCAUUUCCUACCUACCUACCUUCCUUGUUUCCUGUCUUCUAUUCCCCUUCCUUCUUUUUCCUUUCUUUUCUGUCUUCCUUCCCUUUCCUUCCUACCUUCCUUCUCUUCCGUUUCCUACCUGUCUUCUUUUCCCCCUUAUCUUUUUCCUACCUUUCUUCCUUUUCCCCUCUUCCUUCCAUUUCCUAUCUUCCUUCCUUCCAUCUCUUCCAUCCCUCUUUCCUACCUUUCUGUCUUCUUUUUCCCCUUCCUUAUCUUUUUCCUUUUUACCUUUCUUUCUCCCUUUCUUUUCUUCCUGCCCUCUCUGUUUCCAACUACUUUUCUUCUCUUCCCUUUUCUCUCUUUUUCCUAUUUACCUUCUUUCUUUUCUUUCCUCUUUUGGGAGAAAACAGAGGAAAGGAAAUGAGGGUGAGGGAGCAAGAAGAGGGUGGCAUCAGAUACGAUUCCUGCCUGGCAUGGGGUUUGCGGAGAGGCCUUUGUUGCCCUGA
rnacentral:lncRNA from 1 species